CUAAAGUUACACACUUCAGGAUUUAGUUUUCACCGUUUUUUCUCACUGGGUGGUACUAAUUUACACUCGCUUGUGAUUGGUCCUCUUUUGAGCCACUUACAUUACUCCUAGGUUAAACUGCGUGAGGGUAUAUAGUGGGUUGGUUUUAGGUUAUUUGACUUUCUUCUACCCCUGAGAAAGACAUGGGUUGCAUAUUAUCAUUAAUCCCUCCCUUAGUUUCUAUGCCUGGAGUUCUGUUUCAUUCUCAGCUUCCCUCCAUGCCUAUCAUUCAGUUUUCCUCUGCUGUUGUCGGUGGGGAGAAGAGUUCAGCUUGGUCAAGCAUCCACAGGGGACAGAGGUGAAGGCCAUGCAGGUCCAUGAUAUCCACAAGCCUGAGAUCUUUGCCAUCAUCGAUAUCUGAGAUUUUUCUACAGAGGAGCUGUCUGACGGGAACAGGACUAUCAGAGCAUGCCUGUGUGAAUGGACAUUGGAUUAAGGGCAACAGCAUGGGUUUUGAUAAUGAGCUUGUGAAGUGUGAUGUUUUCCUGUACCAUUUACAUACUGUAGGAUCCUCUGACAUCCUACUCUGUGGAGAGGAAUGGAUAUACAAAAACAAAGAUAAACAAGUCCAAGAUAAACUGACUGAAUUUUUACAGCACCCAUUCUAAUGAAACUCAAAAUAGCACAAAGAACGUCUCUUCCCUGUAAAUAUUUUCCAUGACAUGUUCUGUCUUGAUUGCACUGUUAUUACUGUAGUCAGGCUGAUAACAAUGAUGAAUCAAAGAACAAAAUGAGUGUUUGUUCUUCUUCCCCUUUUUUACAUAAGUCAGUCUCAGAAUGCUCUGUUCUCCGAGAUGAACAAUAUGACUGUUUAGUGAGCAUCGAGACAUUUUGUUUUGUUUAGUCCUUAAAGCUUAGAGCUGGUGCGCUGUGAUAUUGAUUGAGCUUCUAUUCCCCAUUUCAAUGUGAAUGCUCCCUCCCCCUGAGAUUCAAGAUCUUCCCAUAAUCUGGAAGAUGCAGAUGCCUUUCCCAGUGUGUGUCUCUGUGUGUAUGUGUGCAUGUGCAUGUGAAAGAGAGAGAAACGUAGAUACUUUACUGAAUCAAGGGUGCAGUCACUUUACCAUCAAAGAAAAAAUAGUUACCUUGUACAUUGCUGCAUUAUACAGUAAUGCGAAACAUUGAUUAUAGCAUUGAUUAUACCGACUAUUCCAUUAGCCUCUUGUGUCAUUAAUUAUGUAUAGCUCAAUUAUUUAUAUGCCAAUGAUAUCCCAAGCAUUGAUGUCAAUUCCUCAACAGAUAAUGCACUGCAAUCAAUAUUUACAUUGCAUUACCUCAAAACAUAACUUAUGUGUGCAUCUUUUUUUCCCAGGGCCUCAUAUUUAAACCCUUUAAAAUUCCCUAACAUAGGCAUGCACUCUAAAAGGGCAUUAGUCAAAUCAAUAUGGAGACCAGAGGAGCUUGUUCCUGCCUGUAGUAGUGGAAGAGGGAGCAGAGCACAGUGUGACAGGAAGCUUUUAAUCGCCCUCUCGGUCCCGUGUGGGCCGGUGGGUUUUUGUUCAUUCAAAUCAAGUGACAAGACCUUUUAAUAAUAAUGGAUUUUUUUUCUUUUUUUCACCCAGCUUUUAACCAAAAUCUAAUGACAUGGUUAACAUUUCUUGAUUUCAUGUUGAAUUUAUGUUAGUUGACAACUCAAUCAAAUCUAAAUCGUUGCACUGACGUCUGCGCCCUGUGAGGUGUGUAAUACAAUACUGCAAAUUUCCUUAAUAUUUAUAUACAUAUUGUGUCACGUCUACACCCGCUCCGGUGCUCAACGUUUCCAGUCUACUAACUACCUAUCCUGGCAACCCAUCAUUAUGCACACCUGGCAACCAUCAUUAUGCACACCUGCACCCCAUUAUUAGACACACCUGGACUUCAUCACUACCCUGAUUACUCCCCCUUUAUUUAGCCUUCCGUUGUGAUCAGUUCUUGGGUGUUAUUGGUUUUCUUGCACGUUCAGUACGCGGUCCAUGUUUGUGUAUCUAUUCCAUAUUCAACACACCUUCUGCACCUGCUUUCUGACUCCCUGCGUAUACAUUACAUGUUGGAUACUGGUUCUGUGUAUCUUUUAGUGUCGUCUCAAUACACUCCACCUUUUUGCUACCAGCUCCCACACAGCCUAUUUAAUUAAGUGUAUUUAGGCAUUUGUCUUGUCUGCUGUUCACUUUAGAUGAACAUGCCAGAGCCUGGGAAUAAAGUUAUAAUCUCAAACUGG